rnacentral:rRNA from 1 species
UACAGAGGGUGCGAGCGUUGUUCGGAAUUACUGGGCGUAAAGCGCACGUAGGUGGCUGGGUAAGUUGGAUGUGAAAUCCCCGGGCUUAACUUGGGAAUUGCAUUCAAGACUGCCUUGCUAGAGUGUGGAAGAGGGAAGCGGAAUUCCAGGUGUAGCGGUGAAAUGCGUAGAUAUCUGGAGGAACAUCAGUGGCGAAGGCGGCUUCCUGGUCCAACACUGACACCGAGGUGCGAAAGCGUGGGGAGCAAACAGG